UCCGGUUUGUCACCGGCAGUCUCCUUAGAGUUCCCGCCAUUACGCGCUGGCAACUAAGGACAAGGGUUGCGCUCGUUGCGGGACUUAACCCAACAUCUCACGACACGAGCUGACGACAGCCAUGCAGCACCUGUCUCACGGUUCCCGAAGGCACUCUCUGAUCUCUCAAAGAUUCCGUGGAUGUCAAGACCAGGUAAGGUUCUGCGCGUUGCAUCGAAUUAAACCACAUACUCCACCGCUUGUGCGGGCCCCCGUCAAUUCCUUUGAGUUUCAGUCUUGCGACCGUACUCCCCAGGCGGGGUGCUUAAAGCGUUAGCUGCGCCACCGACGAGCAAGCUCGCCGAAGGCUAGCACCCAUAGUUUACGGCGUGGACUAC
rnacentral:misc_RNA from 1 species